rnacentral:rRNA from 1 species
GACUCGGCUGUUGUGGUCGGCCGCAUAGGUCUGUACUCUUCUGGCCGGGUCUUUCCUUCUGGAAAACCGUCAUGCCAUUUAUUUGGUGUGAUGGGAAAUCAGGACUGUUACUUUGAAAAAAUUAGAGUGUUUAAAGCAGACUAUCGUCUGAAUACAUUAGCAUGGAAUAAUGAAAUAGGACGGACUGAUUCUAUUUCGUUGGUUUCUAGGAUCACCGUA